rnacentral:rRNA from 1 species
AGAGUUUGAUCAUGGCUCAGAAUGAACGUUGGCGGCGUGGAUUAGGCAUGCAAGUCGAGCGGUAGGGAACUGCUCACUCGGAGCUGUAAGGCGUAAGGCUUUAGUCGUUAGUUCUCUUUGACUAACGACUAACGACUAACGACUAACAGCUUUAAGUGAGCAGUUCCUGAGAGCGGCGAAAGGGAGAGUAACGCGUAGUUACGUACCCCGAGGACCGGAAUAGCCACGGGAAACUGUGGGUAAUGCCGGAUAAUAUCUUCGGAUCAAAGGUGUGAUUCCGCCCUGGGAGCGGACUGCGUUGUACUAGCUUGUUGGUGGGGUAAUGGCCUACCAAGGCGAUGAUGCAUAGCGGGUGUGAGAGCAUGACCCGUCUCACUGGGACUGAGACACUGCCCAGACACCUACGGGUGGCUGCAGUCGAGAAUCUUCGGCAAUGAGCGCAAGCUUGACCGAGCGACGCCGCGUGCGGGAUGAAGGCCUUCGGGUUGUAAACCGCUGUCGUAGGGGAGGAAGUUGAUCGGGGUUCUCCCCGGUCAUUGACCUAUCCUAGAGAAGA